UACGAAGGGGGCUAGCGUUGUUCGGAUUUACUGGGCGUAAAGCGCACGUAGGUGGAUCGUUAAGUCGGGGGUGAAAUCCUGGAGCUCACUCCAGAACUGCCUUCGAUACUGGCGAUCUUGAGUCCGGAAGAGGUGAGUGGAACUCCUAGUGUAGAGGUGGAAUUCGUAGAUAAUUAGGAAGAACACCAGUGGCGAAGGCGGCUCACUGGUCCGGUACUGACGCUGAGGUGCGAAAGCGCGGGGAGCAAACAGG
rnacentral:rRNA from 1 species